AUGUAAGAAACAAAACAAAAAACAAAUUAGGAGCACAGGUGUGAUCUAUAAAACUGAUUGAACGGUUAGGGCAGUAGAUAUCCGUAGCUCAAACUAUUGAAGAUUAGAUUUUAGUAUAAUUCUGAAAGAGUCUACCAAGUAAAAUUACACAGUAGGAUGCUCUUUUGAUUAUGUGAGACAGUGAAGGGAAAAAAGUGUUUCCAAUUUGUAGUGGUAACGUUGUGAAAUAGGCCUCAUCUCGUUUCCAGCGCUUUCAUUUUGAUAAUCGUUGGAUACAUCAGAAAAUGGACGAAGGGAGAAAACACCAACAGUCGAUGGAAAGCGGUCAGCAAAACCAGCGGCAGGUCAAUCACCCAAGGCCCUUCUUCUAUGUUCAGCCGGCUUCUCAACCUUACUACAACAUGUAUCAUCAUCACAAUCAGUGGCAUAAUAUGAAUAACCCAUACAACCACUAUGGCUUACCUGGUUCCGGAGUUUAUCCCUUUGGACGUCCUAGUCCAUACAUGUCCGCAUACCCAUACAUGCAGUAUCCUGGUGGAUAUGUUGUCCCACACACGCCACACAUGCAUCCAGUUGAUUACAGACGCAUGUAUGAACCACCCCAUUUUCAUCUACCUCCUGUGCAUGACCCCAUGUUCCGCCAACAGCAACAACACCACCAUGAUCACACCCAGAGAGAGGUGGUCUGUUCUGAGGCUCAGACGGACCCGAGUGAUGCGCUCAACAAGCUCAUAGAAUGUCUGGACAAACUCCGGGCCAACGAGAUGCAGGGUUCUGAGAAAGAGCUGGAUUCUGGUGUCGUUUCACAAUCUUCCGGAAUAUUCUCACCAGAUGGGGAAAGGAAAUCUUGUGAGGUGGUGGUGGGGGGAGACAUACACAGUGGUCAUGGAGCCUCUUGUGGUAAAUUGGAAGGCAGCCAAUUGCAGUCGUCUUUUCCGAUGGGCAGGUUGUUCAGCGGCGGUAACUCCACGACGGCAGUCUAUGACGGUGAGUCAAGCCGAAGCCUCGGUGGGCUGAGUAAGGAGGGCUGGGCUGUAGACUCUGACGAAGACACCCCAUUGGACAGCUCAUCUAUUCACGAGGAGCUUGAGGAGAACCUGGACCUGCAGCAACAUGCGGAGGAGUCUCUUCAUCGCUGUUCUUUGGAAAGUCUUUGCCUCCAGUCUGCUGUCUUGCAGUCAGAAGACAGCCCCAGACCUGAAAACAUAGACAACGAGGCAGAGGAGGACAGCACCAAUCCAGAUGGUACUAGUUCCACUGAGGUACCUAGGUGGCAGGGCCACUGCUCCAACCUGCUCUCCACACAGUCACUACCACCCCCCCUAGCCUCUGACUGGCAAGCCUUAGAGGACACUAAAUGUGGGGAAGAAACAUUUGAUGUUCAAGAUAGGAAAGGUCUGUCUAAACUGGAUGUUGACCUUUCCUACCAGAUCCUCCAUCUGCCCUUUGACAAGGUUCUGACAGCUGGAGCUCUGCAGAAGGACUGCUCUGCCAGCUCCAGCUCUGCUCUGCUGUGUGGAGACCUCCAGGCUUCCCUGUCCUCCAGCCGGAUCACUACCACCUCCUCCCCAGCCCGUCACCACUACUACUCCUACUACUGCCCCCCACAGACAGCCCACGGAAGGCUCAGCGUCCUCAGUCCCUCCCUAGAUGAGCUCUCGUCCCGAGAGGAGAUGUUCUCCACCGACCUGGAGGACAUGGAUCGGUUUCCCAGAAGCUCCGUCUACGCAGGGAGGAGGUUUCCUGCGGAGGUCGAGCACCUCAGAGAGCCAGGGGUCAAGAAAGUCUGUCCUAAGUCCAAGAAGCUUUUGUGCGCCUGCUGUGGCUCGAGCCUGUUGAAAGGAGGGGCGAGCAGGGUUAAAGUUCAUCACAGCCCGAGGGUGUACGCUGAUGAUGAGGCAGGGGAUUCUGAUGACGUUGUCGAGCAGGAACAACAGUCUGCAAGGACGUGUGAUGAGAGCGCGCACCCCACUAGGGUGGUCGUGCAGAAGCACUCUGUCCCCAAGAAACACCAGCCUCUACACAUCCAACAGCAUCCCAAACCCAGCUGUAAGAGAGGCCAGUGUAGAGAGGCUGUCGGACCGGAGGAGGAGCAGCAGCAGGAGGAACCAGAGAUGGUGCUGGUGAGAUCAGAGCUGGAGUAUUUUGAAGGCCAUGUGGUGGAAGGUGGGCAGGAUGCAGGGGAUAAGGAACACAGGACAUGCAAAGAUGGACUAUGCAGAGAGGGCAUUGAGACUUCAGAACCGGGUAGGUGGGAGAGGAGUAGGGCCAAGCCCAGACGAAAACCACACGCCUCACUGCAAGACUGGCACUGAGGAAAGCUCUGUGGAAGCCAUUGGUGUACCAGAGAGUGCGAGAUGAGGAAGAGGAGCCAACACGAUGUCACAGGGGAAAAGGGUCCACCAAGAGAGGAGACACAAGAUGUUAAUGUCACACCAUUGAUCAAAUAAAAUGGCACAGAAAAAGAGCACUUAGUAGAUUGCACAAUAUAGAUGGACACUUUUAUUUUUUGGGGUGAUAAACCAAGGAGACUUGGUUGAAGUCUCCUUGGCUAAUAAAGUACACUUUCAGGAGGUCCAUAGAAACAGCCUGUUAGCUAGCACUGUACUGUAUUCUUUGGGGGUUAAAUACCUACUUAUUCACCAGCACAGGGUUGGUGGCUUUGAAAUGUUGAUUUGUGUGACCAGUGUGUGCAUUAUUAAAAGGAAUUUCAUUGUA